rnacentral:tRNA from 1 species
GGAAAGAUGCCUGAUUAAAGGGUUAUUUUGAUAGAAUAAAACAUGCAAUUUUUUUGUUCUUUCUU